rnacentral:rRNA from 1 species
GACGAACGCUGGCGGCGUGCUUAACACAUGCCAGUCGAACGGUGAUGCUCCAGCUUGCUGGAGUGGAUCAGUGGCGAACGGGUGAGUAACACGUGAGCAACCUGCCCCAGACUCAGGAAUAAGCGCUGGAAACGGCGUCUAAUACUGGAUACGAAACUGGCCCGCAUGGGCAUGGUUUGGAAAGUUUUUCGGUUUGGGAUGGGCUCGCGGCCUAUCAGCUUGUUGGUGAGGUAAUGGCUCACCAAGGCGACGACGGGUAGCCGGCCUGAGAGGGCGACCGGCCACACUGGGACUGAGACACGGCCCAGACUCCUACGGGAGGCAGCAGUGGGGAAUAUUGCACAAUGGGCGAAAGCCUGAUGCAGCGACGCCGCGUGAGGGAUGACGGCCUUCGGGUUGUAAACCUCUUUCAGCAGGGAAGAAGCGAAAGUGACGGUACCUGCAGAAGAAGCACCGGCUAACUACGUG